ACCUACGGGAGGCAGCAGUGGGGGAUAUUGCACAAUGGGGGCAACCCUGAUGCAGCGACGCCGCGUGAGCGAUGGAGUACUUCGGUAUGUAAAGCUCUGUCAGCAGGGAAGGGAGUGACGGUACCUGACCAAGAAGCCCCGGCUAAAUACGUGCCAGCAGCCGCGGUAAUACGUAGGGGGCUAGCGUUAUCCGGAAUUACUGGGCGUAAAGGGUGCGUAGGUGGUUUCUUAAGUCAGAGGUGAAAGGCUACGGCUCAACCGUAGUAAGCCUUUGAAACUGGGGAACUUGAGUGCAGGAGAGGAGA
rnacentral:rRNA from 1 species